GACGAACGCUGGCGGCGUGCUUAACACAUGCAAGUCGAACGGUAAGGCCCUUCGGGGUACACGAGCGGCGAACGGGUGAGUAACACGUGGGUGAUCCGCCCUGCACUUCGGGAUAAGCCUGGGAAACUGGGUCUAAUACCGGAUAGGACUCCUGGCUUCAUGGUUGGGGGUGGAAAGCUUUUGCGGUGUGGGAUGGGCCCGCGGCCUAUCAGCUUGUUGGUGGGGUAAUGGCCUACCAAGGCGACGACGGGUAGGCGGCCUGAGAGGGUGACCGGUCACACUGGGACUGAGAUACGGCCCAGACUCCUACGGGAGGCAGCAGUGGGGAAUAUUGCACAAUGGGCGCAAGCCUGAUGCAGCGACGCCGCGUGAGGGAUGACGGCCUUCGGGUUGUAAACCUCUUUCAGCUAUGACGAAGCGCAAGUGACGGUAGUAGCAGAAGAAGGACCGGCCAACUACGUGCCAGCCGCCGCCGUAA
rnacentral:rRNA from 1 species